GAUCCUAGAUGGAGCCAAACAUUUGGUAGUUCCUCCUUCUCAUGUUUCAUUAGAGAAGAUGAGAUAGGCGAGAUAAUUGGCUCAAAAGUAUUAACUGUUUCAUCAAUUCUGAUCAAACAGAUGUCAGACUGAGCCAGACAUUUGGUGGCUCCUUCUUAUGUUUCAUUAGAGAAGACCAGAUAGGUGGGCAAGUGGCUCAAAAUCUUAACUGUUUCAUCAAUUCCGAUCAAACAGACGUCAGACUGAGCCAAACAUUUGAUGGCUCCUCCUUCUCAUGUUCCAUUGGUGAAGAUGAGAUAGGUAGAACAACUGGUUCAAAAGUCUUAACUGUUUCAUUAAUUCCAAUCAAAUAGACGUCAGACUGAGCCAGACAUUUGGUAGCUCCUUCUCAUGUUUCAUUGGUGAGGAUGAGAUAGACGAGACAAUUGCCCCAAAGUUUUGUCUAUUUGAUUAAUUCCGAUCAAACAGAUGCUAGACUCAGCCAAACAUUCGAAGGUUCGUUCUUCUUAUGUUUCAUUAGAGAAGAUGAGUUAGGUGAGACAAGUGGCUCAAAAUCUUAACCGUUCCAUUAAUUCCAAUCAAAUAGACGUUAGAUUCAUUCGAGCAUUGCAUGGUACUGGCGACAGCUGUCGGAAACUUUCUGAGACGUGGAGACCUAUGACAUUUCCCAUAUUAAACCCAAUUGUAUAAAACCCAAGAAGUAAUCAGUGGUAGAAGCAGUCACGUGGAAGACACGAUCUGUGCCAGACAGCUCUUAUUGCAGCUUCUAGAAAUUACGAAAAAUCUACAAGGAGAUGCAGCGUAGAACUUUCUUUUUUUUUAAACUAAUCGUUUUUUCCACUCGAAUACCUCAAUAUCUCUUUCCAGAGAAUUAAAAAAUACAUCGAAUAGAGUACAGAAAAGUGUAUUGUUUCAUCAAAAAAAAAAAAAAAAAAA
rnacentral:misc_RNA from 1 species